ACAGGGGCCAGGCUUAUAGUUCCUCAAAUGAUAGUUGAGUUGGAAUGAUUAUAAAAAUUUUUGUUCUAAGGCUGUGCUUUGUUAUUGAAGAAUCUAAGGACACCCAGUCUCCUCGAAAAGGGAAAGUAAAGCGAGGAAAGUGAAAAACAAAAGAAGAGCUAAGAAGAAUAGAUGGAAGCUAUAGAAAGACAGAUUUUAGCUGAGGGACAUUGUCCUUUGGCAAGGAGGAAGAGGAGGAGGAGGAAGAAGAAGAAGAAGAAGAAGAAGAAGAAGAAGAAGAA